rnacentral:rRNA from 1 species
AGCGAACGCUGGCGGCAGGCCUAACACAUGCAAGUCGAACGAACCUUUCGGGGUUAGUGGCGGACGGGUGAGUAACACGUGGGAACGUGCCUUUAGGUUCGGAAUAACUCAGGGAAACUUGUGCUAAUACCGAAUGUGCCCUUCGGGGGAAAGAUUUAUUGCGUUUUGAGCGGCCCGCGUCUGAUUAGCUAGUUGGUUGAGGUAAUGGCUCACCAAGGCGACGAUCAGUAGCUGGUCUGUGAGGAUGAUCAGCCACAUUGGGACUGAGACACGGCCCAAACUCCUACGGGAGGCAGCAGUGGGGAAUCUUGCGCGAUGAGCGAAAGCGUGACGCAGCCGUGCCGCGUGAAUGAUGAAGGUCUUAGGAUUGUAAAAUUCUUUGAGCGGGGGCGAUAAUGACGGUACCCGGAGAAGAAGCCCCGGCUAACUUCGUG